rnacentral:rRNA from 1 species
GAGUACGUCGGCAACGAUGAAACUCAAAGGAAUUGACGGGGGCCCGCACAAGCGGAGGAGCAUGUGGUUUAAUUCGAUGAUACGCGAGGAACCUUACCUGGGCUUGAACGUAUGGUGCAUGGUGGUGAAAGUCACCUUUCCUUCGGGACUUCAUACGAGGUGCUGCAUGGCUGUCGUCAGCUCGUGCCGUGAGGUGUUAGGUUAAGUCCUGCAACGAGCGCAACCCCUGUUUCCAGUUGCCAGCACAUCAAGGUGGGGRCUCUGGAGAAACUGCCUGCGCAAGCAGAGAGGAAGGUGGGGAUGACGUCAAGUCAGCACGGCCCUUACGUCCRGGGCUACACACGUGCUACAAUGGCCGGUACAGAGGGCAGCGACAUGGUGACAUGGAGCUAAUCCUAAAAGCCGGUCUAAGUUCGGAUCGGAGUCUGCAACCCGACUUCGUGAAGCUGGAUUCGCUAGUAAUCGUAUAUCAGCCAYGAUACGGUGAAUACGUUCCCGGGCCUUGUACACACCGCCCGUCAAGCCAUGGGAGUUAGGGGUACCUGAAGUCGAUGCCCGUAAAAGGAAUCGCCUAGGGUAAACCUGAUGACUGGGGCUAAGUCGUAACAAGGUAACCAAGGGCGAA